rnacentral:rRNA from 1 species
UAUUAUUAAGCGGAGGAAAAGAAACUAACAAAGAUUGACUUAGUAAGGGCGACUGAACUGUCAAGAGCUCAGCAUGUGAAUCAGCGCUUACCUCUUUGUAAGCGCUGAAUUGUGGUCUUGUGACUUUUGCGUUCAUUCUGAAAGCAGACCAUGUUUUUUGGAAUAAAAUAGCAUAGAGGGUGAAACUCCCGUUUGUCUGCUUUGGCGAAGCAAAUUGUCAAUGAGUCGAGUUGUUUGGGAUUGCAGCUCCAAUUGUACGGUGGUAAAUUCCAUCUCAAGCUAAAUAUUGGCGGGGGACCGAUAGCGUACAAGUACCGUGAGGGAAAGAUGCAAAGAACUUUGAAAAGAGAGUGAAAGAGUACCUGAAAUUGCUGAAAAGGAAGCGAACGAAGCUAGUGAAAGCUGCGUCAUACUUUCCAACUUGCUUGCAAUUUGGACGCUGUGGCCAGCCCAGUUGGGCUUGAUUGCAACAGCUGAAAGCAGGUGAAGAAAAGAUUCCAUUUUCUCUUGCCCUAUCACGCACCUGUUGCAGUUGAGUUGAACGAAAUAGAUUUGUUUGCCCCGUCUAGAAACACGGACCAAGGAGUCUAACAUAUGUGCGAGUACUGGGGCAACAAACCUCGGUGCGCAAUGAAAGUGUCAGAGGCUGGAAUGUCUUGUACAUUGCACAGUCCGCCGGCCUCCAUCCCUCGGGAAAAUGGUCUGAGUGUGAGCAUACAUGUUGGGACCCGAAAGAUGGUGAACUAUGCUUGAGUAGGGUGAAGCCAGGGGAAACUUUGGUGAAGGCUCGCAGCGAUUCUGACGUGCAAAUCGAUCGUCAAACUUGAGUAUAGGGGCGAAAGACUAAUCGAACUAUCUAGUAGCUGGUUCCCUCCGAAAUUUCCCUUAGGAUAGCUGCAAUCUUUUUUGAAUGAGCCAGUUUUGUCA